GUAACGGACUCGGCGGAAUGCUUUACACAUGCAAGUCGAGCGGCAGCGCGGGGGCAACCCUGGCGGCGAGCGGCGAACGGGUGAGUAACAUAUCGGAACGUACCCCGUCUGGGGGAUAACACAGCGAAAGCUGUGCUAAUACCGCAUACGACCUGAGGGUGAAAGCGGGGGAUCGCAAGACCUCGCGCGAUGGGAGCGGCCGAUAUCGGAUUAGCUUGUUGGUGAGGUAAAGGCUCACCAAGGCGACGAUCCGUAGCUGGUCUGAGAGGACGACCAGCCACACUGGAACUGAGACACGGUCCAGACUCCUACGGGAGGCAGCAGUGGGGAAUUUUGGACAAUGGGGGCAACCCUGAUCCAGCCAUUCCGCGUGAGUGAAGAAGGCCUUCGGGUUGUAAAGCUCUUUCAGCAGGAACGAAACGGUGGCCACUAAUACUGGCUACUAAUGACGGUACCUGAAGAAGAAGCACCGGCUAACUACGUG
rnacentral:rRNA from 1 species